GGGGGCUGAGUGGCGGACGGCUGAGGAACACGUGGGUAUCUGCCUGGCAGUGGGGGACAACGGGUCGAAAGGUCCGCUAAACCCGCAUACGUUCCCUCUUUGGAGGGAAGAAAGCCUUCGGGCGCUGCCAGAGGAGCCUGCGGCCCAUCAGGUAGUUGGCGGGGUAAUGGCCCACCAAGCCAGUGACGGGUCCCUGGUUUGAGAGGACGACCAGGCAGACUGGGACUGAGACACGGCCCAG
rnacentral:rRNA from 1 species